GUUUCCGUAGGAGGGCUUGGUGGUGUAACCACGGGAGGUGUUGGUGUAGGUGGUGUAACAAUCGGUGGGGUUGGUGUAGGUGGUGUAACAAUAGGUGGUGAUGGUACAACUGGGGGUAGUGGAACAUAAGGUGGAGGGUAAACAAUUGGUGGUUUCACAAUAGGAGGUGUUGGAACAUAAGGUGGAGGGUAAACAAUUGGUGGUUUCACAAUAGGAGGUUUUGGAACAUAAGGUGGAGGGUAAACAAUGGGUGGUUUUGGCACAUAAGGUGGUGUCACCGGUACAACCGGUGGCUUAGGCACAUAUGGCGGUGUAACUGGUACAACAGGUGGUUUUGGCACAUAAGGUGGAGAAACAACUGGUGGCUUAGGAACAUAAGGUGGUGGUUUCACAACUGGUGGUUUAGGCACAUAAGGAGGUUUCACAAUUGGUGGUUUGGGAACAUGGGGUGGUUUUGGCACAUAAGGUGGUUUCACAAUUGGUGGUUUUGGAACAUGGGGUGGUUUCACAACUGGUGGUUUUGGCACAUGAG
rnacentral:lncRNA from 1 species